rnacentral:lncRNA from 1 species
UAUUGAUCUGAGUGUGCCGUCAAAGAGCUGGAACAGUAAGCCGUGAAACUGAAAAACCUACUGCAGGAACUGCAAGGCCAUUUGAAGUACUUGCCUUUCUCCGUCCCUGGGAGAUGGGUCACCAGGGCAGCUGCGGAUGUGGGGGCAGGAGGAACAAUGCACAGCCAUUUCACCAUGUGCUACAUCCACUGGUGGAAGAGGAAGGAGUGUAACAAUCCCCCUAGUGCCUCUUCCCUCCCAGAGAUUUCACCGGAAAUUGCUUGGUGCAUUACACUGUUCAGAGGGAAAUAUUUAGAGAAAAUCAGAACUAAUAAGCUGCAACUCUAGAUCCUGCCUUUACAACAGUCAAAUCAUCUGCUGACAGAGAUUUCAUCAAUCAGUAGCCCUUGCUGAUUUCUGAGCUGAAGACUGUUAUAUAUACAUUACUAUGGAUUUCUACAUAUGAAGGGAAGAACCUGACAAAACUAUUCCAUUUUAUCUCCGUUCCAGGAAAAUGGGCCAAUUCUCAGCUGCAAUACUUUGGAGAAUUUCCUGUCUGGUAGUUCAGAAACUGCCAAAAGCAGGGCAGAGAAGCCAGAAAGUACGCUGCUGUCAUUGGC